UGGAAACCUCACGCACGCAUGCGCAGACUCACUUUACUGCGCGUGUUUCUGUUUUAUUUUGACAGAUCCAGGUUAGAGCGCCGUGAUUUUUCCGCGGGCUUUUAUUGUGAAGUUUCGCCUCGUGACGUAGAGUACUUCCGGCGCUCGUGUCAACAGAAGAUGGCCGCGUGCGUGUGCCGCGCGCUCCGGACCGCGCUCGCGGUCACCGGGAGGUGCGCGCGCACCGGACCGAACCUCACGCACACGCACCGCGCGUUCACGUGCAGGAACCAAGGAGAGAGGAGACAAGGAGAGAGGACACAAGGAGAGAGGACACAAGGAGAGAGGACACAAGGAGAGAGGAGACAUGCAGGAGCAGUGCUGUGGCCUGGUCUAGCGUUCUCUCUGUUUGGUCGGAGUGAGGAGGACGAGCGAGAUGAAGCUCAGAAGAAAGAAGACGAGAUGAUUCUGCUGCUCAAGAAGGCCAAGCUCAGUCUUCUUCGGGAUCAGUUGGUUUCUGCGUCGAGUUUCCUUCAUCAGGCUCUGGCUCUGGCCCAACAGCUCCACCACCAGGACGCCCAGCUGUACUGCUACAGCCAGAUGGCGAACCUGGCGUUUGUUCGUGGACAAUUGGACCAGGCGGAGCGUCUGUUUAAGUCGUCCCUGUCGAUCCUUUUGUCUCGGGGGAUUCCAGAAAACGACAACGCCGUCAUCGAGACGUCGCUCAAACUCGCCGCCAUCUACGCCCAACAGAACAGGUUGUCCCUGGCAGAACACGGCUUCAGGUUUUGUGUGGAGACGCUGGAGGAAAAACUGGAGAAAGAAGAAGAGGAGAUGAAGGAGACGAAGGAGACGAAGGAGGCGAAGGAGACGACAGAGGAGUCCACAGGUGAGGCGACAGAGGAGGCUCAGACUCUGCGUCGGGACUCGAGGCUCCUCUUGGGUUUGGCUCUGGACUCGAGGGCUCGGUUCUGGACUCAGGUCUCUGACCUGGAGCGCGCUGAAGAAGACUACAGGAAGAGUCUGAAGAUCUGCAGCGAAGAGCAGGGCCCAGAGCAUCCUCAGACGUUGGUUCUUCUCAGUGAUCUGGCGUCGGUUCUGGAUCUUCGUGGGAAUCAUUCGGAGGCUCUGGUUCUGGUCCAAAGAGCCGUGGAUCUGGGCCGAACCCACGAGCACCCGGACCUGCACGUGCUCCUGUGUAACCUGGCCGCCGUCCUCAUGCACACAGGAGACCUGGAGGCGGCGGCGACGUUUUACCACGAGGCUCUGAGUUUGUCCAAAAGUCGAGGAGACGAGGAAACGACAGAACAUCUGCACGAGGAACUGAAAGAACUGAAGAAGAAGAAAGACGAGAGGAAGAAGGAACGAGAAGAGAAGAAGAAGAAACAAGAAGAAGAAGAAGAGAGAGGAGGAGAGGAGGGAAAAGAGAAGAAAUAAAUGUGACGUGUCUCCUCCUCAGAGACAUUUUACUGUCAGGUGCCCUCCUGUGUGUCAGGUGCGCUCCUCCUCGUGUGUCAGGUGCGCCCCUGUCCUGAUCUGUUAAAUAUUUGUGGAUUUUCUGAUGAAUUUCUGUUUUAUUUUUCUGCGUCUGAAAAAAAUAAAAUCAUGAACCAAAACUCUGAAUCUGA